GAUGAACGCUGGCGGCGUGCCUAAUACAUGCAAGUCGAGCGAACAGACGAGGAGCUUGCUCCUCUGACGUUAGCGGCGGACGGGUGAGUAACACGUGGAUAACCUCCCUAUAAUACUGGGAUAACUUCGGGAAACCGGAGCUAAUACCGGAUAAUAUAUUGAACCGCAUGGUUCAAUAGUGAAAGACGGUUUUGCUGUCACUUAUAGAUGGAUCCGCGCCGGAUUAGCUAGUUGGUAAGGUAACGGCUUACCAAGGCAACGAUGCGUAGCCGACCUGAGAGGGUGAUCGGCCACACUGGAACUGAGACACGGUCCAGACUCCUACGGGAGGCAGCAGUAGGGAAUCGUCCGCAAUGGGCGAAAGCCUGACGGAGCAACGCCGCGUGAGUGAUGAAGGUCUUCGGAUCGUAAAACUCUGUUAUUAGGGAAGAACAAAUGUGUAAGUAACUAUGCACGUCUUGACGGUACCUAAUCAGAAAGCCACGGCUAACUACGUG
rnacentral:rRNA from 1 species